UAAUUGGAGGCUGGAAUGAAUGGUUGGACAAGGGGGAAGCUGUCUCUUUUUACAAUUUUUGAAUUUUACUUUUAAGUGAAAAGGCUUAAAUAAUUUGGGGGGACGAUAAGACCCUAUAAAAUUUUACAAAAUUGGGAUUUUUUUUUGAAUUAAGGUUUAAAUUCUAUAAGUUCUUAUUUGUUUUGUUGGGGCGGCAAAGAUAAAAAUUAGUAACUGUCAUUUAAUUAGAAUAAUUAUAAUUAGUUUAAUUGAUCCUUUAUUAGAGAUUAAAAGAUUAAGUUACUUUAGGGAUAACAGCGUAAUUUUCCCUGAGAGUUCUUAUCGACGGGAGUAGUUGCGACCCCGAUGUUGAAUUAAGGA
rnacentral:rRNA from 1 species